UUAUUCGACCUUCGAAAUUCGGAUAAAACGUAAAUUUUCACAAAAAACGGGGCACAGAAAAAAGUAUGGAAAAUAAGGGGAGAGAUCAGCUACAACUUCAUUUUCAUUUUAUAUAAAAGAAACUCGUGCAAUAAAAAACAAAGUAAAGAUAAUUUCAAGCUGUUAAACAAAGAUAUCAGCGUUCGAUCUCUGUUUGCUUUACCUGCUUCCAUCAACGACCAAUUUCCUAACGGAGUUUUUUUUUGUUUUUGUCUUUUUUGGGGUGUGAAAUGAACGUUGAAGAAUCAUGAAGAAAGGAACUAGGAAAGUAGGGAAGUAUGAGGUUGGGCGAACGAUUGGCGAAGGAACAUUCGCCAAGGUUAAGUUUGCGCAGAAUACAGACACCGGAGAGAGCGUGGCACUAAAAGUUUUGGCCAAAACCACCAUUCUUAAGCACAAAAUGGUUGAUCAAAUUAAAAGAGAGAUAUCCAUCAUGAAGAUUGUUAGACAUCCUAACAUAGUUAGGUUGCAUGAGGUCUUGGCAAGUAGGACAAAGAUAUAUAUUGUUCUUGAGUUUGUAAGUGGAGGAGAACUCUUUGAUAAAAUUGUUCAUCGUGGAAGACUUUCUGAGAAUGAAAGUAGACAAUACUUUCAACAGCUUAUUGAUGCUGUUUCUCAGUGUCACAGUAAGGGUGUAUGCCACAGAGACCUAAAGCCUGAAAACCUUCUUCUCGACUCUUAUGGCAACUUGAAGGUUUCAGACUUUGGACUGAGUGCAUUGCCCCAACAAGGGGUCGGACUUCUGCACACAACAUGUGGAACCCCAAAUUAUGUUGCACCAGAGGUGCUCAGCAACCAGGGUUAUGACGGUGCAGCUGCAGAUGUGUGGUCAUGUGGAGUUGUUCUCUUUGUUAUAAUGGCUGGAUAUCUCCCAUUCGAUGAGAUAGACCUUCCAACUUUGUACAAAAAGGUUAAUGCUGCCCAAUUUUCUUUUCCAUUUUGGUUUUCGCCUGGUGCAAAAUCAUUAGUACAGAAAAUCCUUGAUCCCAAUCCUAAAACUCGUAUUAAAAUUGAGGGAAUUAAAAAUGAUCCAUGGUUUCAAAAGCAUUAUGUGCCUGUAAGACCUAGAGAAGAAGAAGUGAAUUUGGAUGAUGUCCGCGCAGUUUUUGAUGACAUUGAGGACCAGUAUGUAUCUGAGCAGUCUGUAGUUGAUGAAGGGGGUCCCCUGAUAAUGAAUGCAUUUGAGAUGAUUACACUGUCCCAAGGCUUGAAUCUGUCAGCAUUGUUUGACAGGCAACAGGAUUAUGUAAAACGACAAACUCGUUUUGUAUCACGCAAACCAGCAAGAGUUAUAAUCUCAAGUGUUGAAGCCGUUGCAGAAUCAAUGGGUCUCAAGGUUCAUACACGCAAUUACAAGGCAAGACUUGAGGGAAUAUCUGCAAAUAAGUUUGGGCAAUUUGCAGUUGUCCUGGAGGUUUUUGAAGUUGCACCAUCACUGUUCAUGGUAGAUGUUCGAAAAGCUGCUGGAGACACUCUUGAAUAUCACAAGUUCUACAAGAAUUUUUGUACGAAACUUGAAAAUAUAAUCUGGAAACCGACGGAGGGUCUUGCGAAUUCCAGUCUUCUUAGAACAAUCACUUGCUGAUCCUUUUUCUGUGGAUGUGGUGCAAGUCAGUGAGCAGAUGGGCCCAAUGAAGCUAUUCCUCUGCUGUCCUUCACCAACCCACCGUCUUGCUAUAAAAUUAUGUCUGCUGCGUACAUAUCAGUUUCCGGGUUUAUAGAUCAUUUGCCAGAUGCAAAGUUGAAGAAUUUAUGACUCCAGGUUGAUAUGGUGUUCACUUAGACUAGCAUCGGAGCAGUGAUCCUCAGCACUGUUUGCUUCUGCUGUCAAACGCUGUUCCUGGACUUGAACAAAUCCAUAAUUGUAAGUUUAUGACCACCCAAAACAUAUUCGUAGAUAGAGGCUACUAUUCACAGGUUUCUGCUCCCGCCACCAUCAAAAUCGACUUUCGUUACCAUAAGUACCGCUGCAAUCAUUGUUAUAAGUUCCCGAGUUGCUUUAAAACAUCUCCGGGCAGUAGUAUUCUAUAUUUAAUUGGAAGUGAUAGAUUUACCA